rnacentral:rRNA from 1 species
GAUGAACGCUGGCGGCGUGCCUAAUACAUGCAAGUCGAGCGAACGGACGAGAAGCUUGCUUCUCUGAUGUUAGCGGCGGACGGGUGAGUAACACGUGGAUAACCUACCUAUAAGACUGGGAUAACUUCGGGAAACCGGAGCUAAUACCGGAUAAUAUUUUGAACUGCAUUGUUCAAAAGUGAAAGACGGUCUUGCUGUCACUUAUAGAUGGAUCCGCGCUUCAUUAGCUAGUUGGUAAGGUAACGGCUUACCAAGGCAACGAUGCAUAGCCGACCUGAGAGGGGGACCGGCCAAACUGGAACUGAGAAACGGUCCAGACUCCUACGGGAGGCAGCAGUAGGGAAUCUUCCGCAAUGGGCGAAAGCCUGACGGAGCAACGCCGCGGGAGUGAUGAAGGUCUUCGGAUCGUAAAACUCUGUUAUUAGGGAAGAACAGAUGUGUAAGUAACUGUGCACAUCUUGACGGUACCUAAUCAGAAAGCCACGGCUAACUACGUG